CAGCAGUAGCCGCGGUAAUACGAAGGGGGCUAGCGUUGCUCGGAAUUACUGGGCGUAAAGGGCGCGUAGGCGGACAGUUAAGUCGGGGGUGAAAGCCCGGGGCUCAACCUCGGAAUUGCCUUCGAUACUGGCUGUCUUGAGUAUGAGAGAGGUGUGUGGAACUCCGAGUGUAGAGGUGAAAUUCGUAGAUAUUCGGAAGAACGCCAGUGGCGAAGGCGACACACUGGCUCAUUACUGACGCUGAGGCGCGAAAGCGUGGGGAGCAAACAGGAUUAGAUACCCGUGUAGUCCCUGUCUCUUAUAA
rnacentral:rRNA from 1 species